rnacentral:rRNA from 1 species
UUUUAUGAGAGUUUGAUCCUGGCUCAGGACGAACGCUGGCGGCGUGCCUAAUACAUGCAAGUCGAACGCUUCUUUUUCCACCGGAGCUUGCUCCACCGGAAAAAGAGGAGUGGCGAACGGGUGAGUAACACGUGGGUAACCUGCCCAUCAGAAGGGGAUAACACUUGGAAACAGGUGCUAAUACCGUAUAACAAUCGAAACCGCAUGGUUUUGAUUUGAAAGGCGCUUUCGGGUGUCGCUGAUGGAUGGACCCGCGGUGCAUUAGCUAGUUGGUGAGGUAACGGCUCACCAAGGCCACGAUGCAUAGCCGACCUGAGAGGGUGAUCGGCCACAUUGGGACUGAGACACGGCCCAAACUCCUACGGGAGGCAGCAGUAGGGAAUCUUCGGCAAUGGACGAAAGUCUGACCGAGCAACGCCGCGUGAGUGAAGAAGGUUUUCGGAUCGUAAAACUCUGUUGUUAGAGAAGAACAAGGAUGAGAGUAACUGUUCAUCCCUUGACGGUAUCUAACCAGAAAGCCACGGCUAACUACGUGCCAGCAGCCGCGGUAAUACGUAGGUGGCAAGCGUUGGCCGGAAUUAUUGGGCGUAAAGCGAGCGCAGGCGGUUUCUUAAGUCUGAUGUGAAAGCCCCCGGCUCAACCG